UCCAUUGGGAUCCAUGGGUUCCUCCCUUCGUGUCCCUUUGGGGACAUCCACCCACUGGGACGCGUCUGUCCCAGCCCCAGUCCCACUGGGGGACGCUGAUGGUGGGGAUCCAUCCAUUCCCACUGCCAGUCCCACUCCGAUCCCAUUGGGAUCCACCCCNUUCGUGCCCCCCGGGUUCCCCCCGCCUCCCCCCGCUGCCGCUGCUGCAGCCGCCAACCCCGGCGCCUCGGCCCCGUCCCUGGCUGAGUGAGCGCGGCACGGGGACAGACGGACGUUGGGAUCCGUGCGUUCCCAUUUCCGGGUCUGUUUGGGGACGGUGAUCCAUUGGGAUCCAUCCGUUCCCAUUUCUGGGUCCAUACGGGGACGUCCACCCAUUGGGAUCCAUCUGUUCCCAGUUUUGUGUUCAUAUGGGGACAUCCACCCAUUGGGAUCCAUCCGUUCCCGUUUCUGGGUCUGUUUGUGGACGCUGAUCCAUUGGGAUCCAUCCGUUUUCGGGUCUGUCUGGGGACGUCCACCCAUUGGGAUCCAUCCGUUCCCAUUUCCAUGUCCGUAUGGGGACACUGAUCCACUGGGAUCCAUCCAUUCCCAGUUUCGUGUCCAUAUGGGGACACUGAUCCACUGGGAUCCAUCCAUUCCCAGUUUUGUGUCCGUAUGGGGACGUCCACCCACUGGGAUCCAUCCGUUCCCAUUUCCGGGUCUGUUUAUGGACACUGAUCCACUGGGAUCCAUCCGUUCCCAUUUUCAGGUCCAUAUGGGGACAUUGAUUCAAUGGGAUCCAUCUGUUCCUAUUUCUGGGUCCAUAUGGGGACGUUCACCCAUUGGGAACCAUACAUCCCCAUUUCCGGGUCUGUUUAUGGACAUUGAUCCAUUGGGAUCCAUCUGUUCCCAUUUCCGGGUCUGUUUAUGGCCAUUGAUCCAUUGGGAUCCAUCCGUUCCCAUUUCCAUCUGUCUGGGGACGCGGAUCCAUUGGGAUCCAUGGGUUCCUCCCUUCGUGUCCCUUUGGGGACAUCCACCCACUGGGACGCGUCUGUCCCAGCCCCAGUCCCACUGGGGGACGCUGAUGGUGGGGAUCCAUCCAUUCCCACUGCCAGUCCCACUCCGAUCCCAUUGGGAUCCACCCCAACACUUCCAUAUCCAUUGGGAUCGCUCCAAUUCCAUUGGGAUCCAUCCCAACGCCUCCAUGUCCAUUUGGGAUCGCUCCAAUGCCAUUGGGAUCCAUCCCAACACCUCCGUGUCCAUUGGGAUCGCCCUGAUCCCAUCGGGCUCCACCCCAACACCUCCGUGUCCAUUUAGGAUCGCUCCAAUCCCAUCGGGAUCCAUCCCAACACCUCUGUGUCCAUUUGGGAUUGCUCCAAUCCCAUUGGGAUCCAUUCCAACACCUCCGUGUCCAUUUGGGAUCCCUCCAAUCCCAUUGGGAUCCCUCUGAUCCCAUUACUCUGAUCCCAUUGGGUUCACUCCAAUCCCAUUAGGGUCCCUCCGAUCCCAUUACUCCGAUCCCAUUACUCUGAUCCCAUUGGGUUCACUCCAAUCCCAUUGGGUUCACUCCAAUCCCAUUGGGUUCACUCCAAUCCCAUUAGG
ensembl:lncRNA